ACCGUCGCACCCUUGCGACACCGCGAACUUCCGGGGAAGGUUGCGGCCCGCGUAGGCGAGGCAGGAAGUUCACCCUUCCCGCCUCCUCAGCUCAGAUUGGUUCCGGUGGCGGACGCCAGCGGGCGCGCGGGGUCACAGAGGGCUCCGCCUUGGCUUUGGGGGAGGAUCUGCGGAGCCCGGCGUCGGAAUCGAGGCUGUGCCGCGCUCGCCUCGUUUGCUCUCACGUCUCUCCGGGUCUUGGUGGGAAACACUGCUCUGCUCUUAACUGGCAUCUUACUGCUGGAAGAGACAGUAGGGUCUGAUUGGGGCUUCGGUACUGGGUUAUCAAAAGCGUUCAAACACCCCCCGUUUGUAAGACGUGAAUAGGAAUGCCCGCCCUUAGUUUGGUGAGGACCUAGUGAGAUCUUACGUAAAAAAAGAGCUCAGAGGAAUUGAAACGUGGCUGGUCCCUGCGGCGGUGCUUUAGUCCUGUUCUGCUGCAGUGUUUGCAGAUUCCAGUGAUCUUGGGAUCACGGUGAUCCGGGAGCCACGCCGACGUUUCUCUCACUGGUCAAAGGGAUCAGCUACUCCUCCCAGCAGUACACGUGUGAAUGUAGCAGAACCUUCUGACUCCUUGCUCCUGCCCUUUGACUGUAUCCUGCAUCCCUUUCUUUUCUCUAGCCCACUUAGUGCACGUGGGGGCACCCACGGUGAACACAUUUUGGCAAGCUUUGGCACGCCCGCGCAGUGCUGUGGAUCCGCUGGCUUCGGCCGUGCGCGCCUAUGUAGGAGAUGACAGUCAAUAGAAGUUCCCUCUGACUGGAAUGCCAUCUGCUUCCCACGCCACCCUUUCAAGCCUUUCUCCAUCCUGCAAAACCCCGUUCCCUUGUCAAGCGCUCCAGGAGAAGGUGACAUUGGGCAGCCUACCCGGGUUCUCCGUGCUCCGGUCCUCUCAUCUGUAAAGUAGGGACAGAGGCUGUUGGAAGAUGCCUGAAUGUACUCUGAUGGUCUGGAAAUGUUUAAAUGGGUGGUGAAGACACAUAACUCGUAAAUUACUGUUUCCUCCAUACAAUUUCUUUCUCUUGCCUUCAUUUCACUUGUUGAGAACUUCACAUAAUCCGUGCUUUGCUGACAGUACUGACUUGAAGGAGUAAAAGAAUAAAAUAUAAUUGUACUCAACACAGACUUUAUAUGCGUGUGAUGUAAAUUGUAAAUGUGAAUAUGCAGAAUUUUUCAAUUCAAAUUAUUUUUUGUUUUUGAAAAGUUAUUCUACUAAAAGCUUUAAAGUUAUUAAAAUAAAAUUAUAAUUGAUACAUGUCAAAUAUCUAAAAUUACUUAAAUAUAUCUGAGGCUUUUUAUUUUUGAAAUGUAAUUAAAUUCCAUUAAAUAUUUUUCACAGAAAUUUAAACCUCUGCAAUUCUGAGGUUCAAUGUCCUUCUUGUUGAUUUUAGUAAAGAACCAAUAUUAA